GAGGUAAGCAGCAGCAGCAGCAGCGUAGGCGGUGCCGGCGCAGGCAUUUGAUUAGUUUCUUUAGACAGACACGCCCACGCUUGCAAUUGCUACUAAACCCUAUGCUUCUUUUUAAUUGUUUAAUUAAUUAAAUCCACCAACUACAAGUGGGGUUUGCCUUUGCUGGGAUUAUCAAUGUCUUUUACUUUACUAAUUACCCUUCAAUGGAUGCUGGGCACCCGACAAGGUCUUCGCACAGAAACUUCUAUUUCCUCCUUUCGAGAUACAGUUUUUUGUAGUUAUGAAGUGGAAUUUGAAAAAUGAGUAUAAUCCGUCAAGAAGAAGCUGCUGGUUGUAUUUAUCUAAAGCACUAGCAUGGUGGAAGGUCCGCCGGCGGCGGCAGAAUUGAUUCUUCAGCUGAUUUUCCAUUCUCAACCACAAACGCCAUCUUCAAACCCCACAUUGUGUGUAACUCCAGGUUGAUUGGUCGUACCUGGAUUAUCUGCUCUGAAUCUGAUAGCAGCCCAACCACCGGUAGGGACACCGACCGUAUUCCUUUCGGGAGGAUCAAUCAGGUUAUACUUCAAAGGAUCAUUCUUGGGAUCGAAGUUACCGAUUCCAGUACCGACCACGAAGAAAUUGUAGCCGUGGAGAUGAAACGGAUGCGAUUCAACAGUCAGCAUAUUGGUGUCUUGCAACACUAACUCAACCGUAGAAUUAAACGCCAACUUACUCAGCCUCGUCCCUAAAGUCGUCGCCAAAUUCGCCGUCAAUGGCACACCCGUAUAGUUAAACGGCACGGCUGGCCGGUCAGGAAAGUCAGCAGUGAAGACACCAGGGAUGUUGAAGUAAUGAGCCUGCAGAAGCCCUGUCUUAGGCAUCACAAAAGUAAUGUUGUUUAAUGAAGCCGUCAGUUGCGUUCCAUUCAAGCAACUGGCACAUGGGUUUGCUCCUAAACCGAUGGUGUAAAACAGAUGCCUGUCGAUUUUAAUGGGGACAUUGGUUGGGAACAGAGGAGUGUUCAAGCUUCUGAGCUUGUUGUUGUAGGACAGAGCAAAAUUGGUGUCGUUGGGAAGAGGCAGAGUUGGCAGAGAAGGAAGGAUUGUGGUAGGAAUUCCUUUGUACUGCAAAAUGGCAGUAACGGUCUUGUUGUCGACAGGUAUUGGUGCGUCCAUGAAGGGUCGAGCUGCCAUGAAGUACCUGCCAGGGGCUUGAUCAGCCUUAACCAGAACAUUGGUGGUUUGGCCUGGGGCUAUGAGAAUGGCGGUGGUUGUGAAAGGUUUUGUGUAGACGGCAUCGAUCUCCACGACGGUCAGGGAGUGGCCGGCAAUGGCGAAGAAGAGCUCGUCAUUAAGCGCAGCAUUGAUGAUCCUUAACAGAUGUGAAAUCUGCCAAUCUCAUAUUCAUAAUGAAAGAGAGAAGAAUCCCUACAUCAAAUUGGUAUUUCUUAAUUGCUGAUUCAGCCAGAAAAGGGAGAGGUCCAACAAAGAAUGUGAGGAGAAGCAGCAAUCCCAGUUUGUGACUAUAUGCAAAUUGCUUUGGAGUAAGAUGAUGGAUUUGUGGAGCUGUAUUUGAUGUUUGUUCUUCUUCUCCUUCUUCAUCUUCUUCUUCUUCAUGGGUUGGGUGAGGGAAAGAGACGAGCGAUAGGGAAAGGCUACCUUACUUAAUUUUAUAAGCCGCCUUCAACUACCAAAUAUUUGGGCCUAGACUCAACAGAGUGGGCUUGGGUUUUGAAUCUUAUAACUUGGGCCUUGGUCAAGCCUUAAGAAGAGUGCAAAGUGAAAGGCUAUGAAUGUGAUUGAGGUUAAUGUGUGUUUCUUCUUAUUUAAACCACAUCAUGAUUACUUUGCUGACAUAUUUACUAAUCAUUGUCAAAUCAAAUCCUUGGUUUUGUGCUGUAA